CGCGUAGGCGGGUGAGCAAGUCCGGGGUGAAAUCUUUCGGCUUAACCGGAAAACAGCCUUGGAUACUGCUCGUCUAGAGGGAGGUAGGGGUCUGCGGAACUUCCGGUGGAGCGGUGAAAUGCGUUGAUAUCGGAAGGAACGCCGGUGGCGAAAGCGGCGGACUGGACCUCUUCUGACGCUGAGGCGCGAAAGCUAGGGGAGCAAACG
rnacentral:rRNA from 1 species